rnacentral:rRNA from 1 species
AGGAAGAAGUCUCGGCUAACUACGUGCCAGCAGCCGCGGUAAUACGUAGGAGACGAGCGUUGUCCGGAGUUACUGGGCGUAAAGGGUGCGCAGGCGGCCGCACGCGUCGCGAGUGAAAUCUCCCGGCUCAACUGGGAGGGUGGUCGCGAGACGGUGUGGCUUGAGGCUCGGAGAGGGGCGUGGAAUUCCGGGUGGAGCGGUGAAAUGCGUAGAGAUCCGGAGGAACACCAACGGCGAAGGCAGCGCCCUGGACGAGACCUGACGCUCAGGCACGAAAGCUCGGGGAGCGAACAGGAUUAGAUACCC